rnacentral:rRNA from 1 species
UACGUAGGGUGCAAGCGUUGUCCGGAAUUAUUGGGCGUAAAGAGCUCGUAGGCGGGCUGUCACGUCGGCUGUGAAAUCCCGAGGCUCAACCUCGGGUCUGCAGUCGAUACGGGCAAACUAGAGUAUUGCAGGGGAGACUGGAAUUCCUGGUGUAGCGGUGAAAUGCGCAGAUAUCAGGAGGAACACCGGCGGCGAAGGCGGGUCUCUGGGCCAUAACUGACGCUGAGGAGCGAAAGCUAGGGGAGCAAACGGG